GUAGGUGGCAAGCGUUGUCCGGAAUUAUUGGGCGUAAAGCGCGCGCAGGCGGUCCUUUAAGUCUGAUGUGAAAGCCCACGGCUCAACCGUGGAGGGUCAUUGGAAACUGGGGGACUUGAGUGCAGGAGAGAAGAGUGGAAUUCCACGUGUAGCGGUGAAAUGCGUAGAGAUGUGGAGGAACACCAGUGGCGAAGGCGACUCUUUGGUCUGUAACUGACGCUGAGGCGCGAAAGCGUGGGGGGAGCAAACAGGAUUAGAUACCCUGGUAGUCCACGCCGUAAACGAUGAGUGCUAAGUGUUAGAGGGUUUCCGCCCCCUUUAGUGCUGCAGCAAACGCAUUAAGCACUCCGCCUGGGGAGUACGGCCGCAAGGCUG
rnacentral:rRNA from 1 species